GGGGCAGUGCUGUUUUGGCGUAUCUUUACAGAUGCCUAUGCCGAGCGUCUAUUGGUGCUGUCAGAGAUGUGUGUGGAUUUUUUGCUCUUCUCCAGUUAUGGGCGUGAGAGAGGAUGCUGCCUUUUCAGCCCGUACCUAGGCAUCACCUCGAGAUUGACACACCUUAUGCGAGGAGGUGGACAACGGGUUUUGACCGGAAAGUGGAUACGCACCACAGUAUUCUUCCAUUCCGGGACCAGCUUGAUCACAUGACGGACGAUGCGCUAUUUAUAUGGACGCCGUACGCUGCUAUAUUAAAUGGUUUUCCAGCCUUUUGCAGGGCAGGUCAGGGGGUUUGGAGGUCGCGGUGUCCAUUGAUACACCUGGACAUCGUAGAGGACCACAUGCCCGAGCGUGUCUCACGACAGUUUGGGCAUACACAGAGUAUACCCCCUGACGUCCGUCAUGAGCUCCGACACUAAC